rnacentral:misc_RNA from 1 species
GUUGAAGAACGUAGCGAAAUGCGAUAAGUAAUGUGAAUUGCAGAAUUCAGUGAAUCAUCGAAUCUUUGAACGCACAUUGCGCCCCUUGGUAUUCCGAGGGGCAUGCCUGUUCGAGCGUCAUUAUAACCCCUCAAGCUCAGCUUGGUGUUGGGGCCUGCCGCACGGGCAGCCCUUAAAAUCAGUGGCGGUGCUAUCUGGCUCUAAGCGUAGUAAUUCUUCUCGCUAUAGAGUCCCGGUGGAUGCUUGCCAUUAACCCCCAAUUUUCUAUGGUUGACCUCGGAUCAGGUAGGGAUACCCGCUGAACUUAAGCAUAUCAAUAAGCGGAGGA